GUGGUUUGUUUACUUGUGUGGGUGGGUAAAGUAUUUGUUUUCUGUUUGUUAUACUCUUUUGUUUAUUCAUUUAUUAAAAGAAUGAUUCACCUCAUAUUGAUUGAUGUCAGAUGUUUCAAUACAGACGAUGCAAAGUAGGUGAUUAUUAUUAUUAUUAUUGAGGUUUAGCUAUCAAAAAAAUAAAAUGAAUGCAAAAAGAUCUUAAGAAUGCUGGUAAGUCAAUAAAAAUCUUAAAUCUAAUCGAUAAAUAUUUUUGGCGAUUUAUUGCCUAAUAUAUUUGGUAUUUGAGGAUUUAUUUAUUU
rnacentral:lncRNA from 1 species